CCGCGCUGGGCGCGCUGCUGGCGGCCGCGCUGGGCUGCUGGCGGCGGCGGCGGAGGAAGGACGAACCUCUCUAUGAAGUUGCUUUCCACAGAACUGCAGAUGUCGCCCUGCUGCAGCCUGAGGUGGAAGUCCCUGCUAAGUGCCAACAGGAGGAAACGU